rnacentral:rRNA from 1 species
GGGAGGCAGCAGUGAGGAAUAUUGGACAAUGGGCGCAAGCCUGAUCCAGCAAUGCCGCGUGUGUGAAGAAGGCCUGCGGGUUGUAAAGCACUUUAAGCCGGAAAGAAGGGCGAAAGGUUAAUACCCUUUUGCAUUGACGUUACCGGCAGAAUAAGCACCGGCUAACUCCGUGCCAGCAGCCGCGGUAAUACGGAGGGUGCGAGCGUUAAUCGGAAUUACUGGGCGUAAAGCGCGCGUAGGCGGUUCGUUAAGUCAGCUGUGAAAGCCCCGGGCUUAACCUGGGAAUGGCAGUUGAUACUGGCGGGCUAGAGUGUGGUAGAGGGGUGUGGAAUUUCCGGUGUAGCAGUGAAAUGCGUAGAGAUCGGAAGGAACACCAGUGGCGAAGGCGGCACCCUGGACCAACACUGACGCUGAGGUGCGAAAGCGUGGGGAGCAAACAGGAUUAGAUACCCCGGU